UACGGAGGGUGCGAGCGUUGUCCGGAAUCACUGGGCGUAAAGGGCGCGUAGGUGGCCUGUGGAAGUCUGCGGUGAAAGCCCGGCGCUCAACGCCGGGUCGGCCGUGGGAUACUCUCGGGCUCGAGCUUACUAGAGGCAGAUGGAAUUCCGGGUGUAGCGGUGGAAUGCGUAGAGAUCCGGAAGAACACCGGGUGGCGAAGGCGGGUCAUGCUGGGGUAAUGCUGGACACUGAUGCGCGGACAGCGGUGGGGAGCAAACAGG
rnacentral:rRNA from 1 species